AUGUUGCACAUAUCGUGUGGGUGAGAACCUGCGUUCAGGUUCGAGCCGAGCGAAAGCGAGACAACAACGCGAUAGCGUUGACCCGGAGGGUGAGGCCAAAGGCCGAAUCAUCCCGCACGACCCACCA
rnacentral:sRNA from 1 species